GUGAAUCAUCGAAUUUUUGAACGCAAAUUGCACUCUCUGGUAUUCCGGUGAGUAUGCCUGUUUGAGGGUCAGUUUAAAUAAAAAUCGAGGUGUUGCUGUUUUGUGACCAAUCGGAUUUGGGUUAUCUUUGACCUUUUAAAUAGUUUACGUGACCUAAAAUUGAUACAUUGUGCAUCUCAGACGUACAUACGAAUAUCUUUUUUUCAGUUCGGAGUUGACGACUUUUUAUUAGGUAUGACCAUGCUGU
rnacentral:misc_RNA from 1 species